rnacentral:lncRNA from 1 species
CACGAAAAGGUUGGGAAUCCGUUGGCGCACAUCACCCCUUUUUGAGGAUUAUAUCUGGCAAAUUGAUUUGUUCGCGAGAGCGGUUACCGAUGAGAGGUUAAUUAUCUGAGAUGAUAAUCUUUUGGUAUAUUAGUCUCUACUGCAGUGCACGGCCAGCUGGCCCGAUGGCUCUACUCUUCGGGAGUCUGGAGCCCACUGUAACAACCACACACGUCCAAACAAACGUAACGAACAAACUACACGGUGCCAUACAAGGGAUGACGGGCGCAUUAAAAAACGCAAUAACUGCAAUAAGCAAAGUUAAGCCUCAUAGCAGUCCAUUUAACACGAAAUGUGGCGACUUAAAAGAUUUGUCGAGGUAAGACAGCAGUAAGGGUGGCACCAUGAACAAAGGAUUUUGGUGCAUGUUCACGAUCAAAGCCUUGCAUGAGAAUCAGAACAUCAACGCAUUUAGGAGGCUGUGCCGCAUCUCCCAGAAAUCCAGCACGCAGGAAACUGCUCGUACACUUAUGAUUAGGCGUCGGCUCGUCCAGUUUAGCGGGAGUGAGACGAAUGCCCC